GGGGAGAGCGCGCGCAAGGCAGAGCGCAUCAGCGGACGUCUUAAUGUUACGCCAACUCUGAACCGCGCAACACCUAUCCCUACGUAGUCUUCGAUACAACGAAGUAUCUCUACGAAAUUUCUUGAAGUGUUUAACGAUUCGUAACGAGUAUUUUACAAUGUGCAUCAACCUUUGCAACAGGGAAGAAGUACAAGCAAAUUAUGGUCUUUUGAAUAUGAUAAUUCCAAGACAACUGACACGCCAAGUUGACCGACCUAGAUAUUAUUGUUUGAUACGAGUCGCACCUGCCUACCGCACCAACGACUAUUCACUUUGUGGAUUUUGUUACAGAAAUUUACUUAUGAUGAAAGCGGACGUAAGGAUGUACGAAGAAGCAAAUUAUCAUAGCAUUUGCGGAGUCUCAGGCCGCGCACGUGUCCUUCGUUGCGACUCAUGCGAAAAACGAAUAGGACGGCUAAUACCCGCAGACGAGUGUCGGCUGUGCGCCGAGCAGUUGCCUAUACUGACUACAAAUCAGAUAAAUUCGUUAGCUCAGGGGAAAUUAGUACGCAUUGAUUAUCAUCCGUGAUAACAAUUUUUUUGCCGUCACAUAACCGGAACUAUGUACGGAACUGUUGCGAUUCUUUCAACCGCACGCGGAUCAAAGGUUACAGCAGCGAAUGAUCGUUUAUAAUAUUUUCUUCUUAUUAUAUUAUUAAUAUUCUUGUUAUUAUAAAUAAACUAUAUUAUUAAUAUUC